UCAAGGUGAGAGAUACGGAGGUAGAGCACUGAAUGUCCUAGGGGGUAUUGCACCUACCGAAGACUAUCAAACUCCGAAUGCCGUCAUCUUAUACUUGGGAGUCAGACUGUGGGUGAUAAGAUUCAUAGUCGAAAGGGCAACAGCCCAGAUCGUCAGCUAAGGUCCCUAAAUGUAAGUUAAGUGGUAAAGGAUGUGGGAUUGCACAGACAACCAGGAUGUUGGCUUAGAAGCAGCCACUCAUUCAAAGAGUGCGUAAUAGCUCACUGGUCGAGUGAUCCUGCGCCGAAGAUUUCCGGGGCUAAAACUUACUACCGAAGCUACGGCAUCAGUAAUGAUGGGUAGGGGAGCUUCCCAUACGGGUUGAAGCAUGACCGUAAGGACAUGUGGACAGUAUGGGAGUGAGAAUGUUGGCAUGAGUAGCGAGAUGUGGGUGAGAAUCCCACAGGCCGUAAACCCAAGGUUUCCAGGGGAAGGUUCGUCCGCCCUGGGUUAGUCGGGACCUAAGCUGAGGCCGAAAGGCGUAGGUGAUGGACAACAGGUUGAUAUUCCUGUACUACCGAUAACCAUUUGAGAGAAGGGAUGACACAGUAGGAUAAGCUAAGCACACUGUUGGUUAUGUGUGCCCAAGCAUUGAGGCAGUCAAAGUAGGCAAAUCCGCUUUGAUAAUGCUGGGAUGUGAUGGGGAGCGAAAUUUAGUAGCGAAGUAGCUGAUUUCACACUGUCAAGAAAAGUCUCUAUCGAGGUUAAAGGUACCCGUACCGCAAACCGACACAGGUGGGUGAGGAGAGUAUCCUAAGGCCAGCGAGAGAACUGUUGUUAAGGAACUCGGCAAAAUGACCCCGUAACUUAGGGAUAAGGGGUGCCACCAUCAGGUGGCCGCAGAGAAUAGGCCCAAGCGACUGUUUACCAAAAACAUAGGUUUCUGCUAAGUCGCAAGACGAUGUAUAGGAGCUGACGCCUGCCCGGUGCUGGAAGGUUAAGGGGAUCUGUUAGAGCAAUCGAAGCAGUGAACUUAAGCCCCAGUAAACGGCGGCCGUAACUAUAACGGUCCUAAGGUAGCGAAAUUCCUUGUCGGGUAAGUUCCGACCCGCACGAAAGGCGUAACGAUUUGGGCACUGUCUCAACAACAGACUCGGUGAAAUUGUAAUUCCGGUGAAGAUGCCGGAUACCUGCGACAGGACGGAAAGACCCCAUGGAGCUUUACUGUAGCUUGACAUUGGGUCUUGGUACUACAUGUACAGGAUAGGUGGGAGGCUUUGAAACCAGGACGCCAGUUUUGGCGGAGCCAUCCUUGGGAUACCACCCUUGUAGUACUGGGACUCUAACCAUAGGCCAUGAAUCUGGUCUUGGGACACUGUCAGGUGGGCAGUUUGACUGGGGCGGUCGCCUCCCAAAAGGUAACGGAGGCGCUCAAAGGUUCUCUCAGUACGGUCGGAAAUCGUACGUAGAGUGUAAAGGCAAAAGAGAGCUUGAUUGCAAGACAUACAGGUCGAGCAAGGAUGAAAAUCGGACUUAGUGAUCCGGUGGUUCUGCGUGGAAGGGCCAUCGCUCAACGGAUAAAAGCUACCCUGGGGAUAACAGGCUUAUCUCCCCCAAGAGUCCACAUCGACGGGGAGGUUUGGCACCUCGAUGUCGGCUCAUCACAUCCUGGGGCUGUAGUAGGUCCCAAGGGUUGGGCUGUUCGCCCAUUAAAGUGGUACGCGAGCUGGGUUCAGAACGUCGUGAGACAGUUCGGUCCCUAUCCGUCGCAGGCGUAGGAAAUUUGAGAAGACCUGUCCUUAGUACGAGAGGACCGGGAUGGACGUACCUCUGGUGUACCAGUUGUCCUGCCAAGGGCAUGGCUGGGUAGCUAUGUACGGAAUGGAUAAGCGCUGAAAGCAUCUAAGCGCGAAGCCAACUUCAAGAUAAGAUUUCCCACCGCAAGGGUAAGACCCCAGAAAGACUAUCUGGUUGA
rnacentral:rRNA from 1 species